GAAGGUGAAGUCGUAACAAGGUCUCCGUAGGUGAACCUGCGGAGGGAUCAUUAC
rnacentral:rRNA from 1 species